rnacentral:rRNA from 1 species
CCUACGGGGGGCUGCAGUGAGGAAUAUUGGUCAAUGGACGAGAGUCUGAACCAGCCAAGUAGCGUGAAGGAUGACUGCCCUAUGGGUUGUAAACUUCUUUUAUAUGGGAAUAAAACGUUCCACGUGUGGGAUUUUGUAUGUACCAUAUGAAUAAGGAUCGGCUAACUCCGUGCCAGCAGCCGCGGUAAUACGGAGGAUCCGAGCGUUAUCCGGAUUUAUUGGGUUUAACGGGAGCGUAGGUGGAUUGUUAAGUCAGUUGUGAAAGUUUGCGGCUCAACCGUAAAAUUGCAGUUGAAACUGGCAGUCUUGAGUACAGUAGAGGUGGGCGGAAGUCGUGGUGUAGCGGUGAAAUGCUUAGAUAUCACGAAGAACUCCGAUUGCGAAGGCAGUUCACUGGACUGCAACUGACACUGAGGCUCGAAAGUGUGGGUAUCAAACAGGAUUAGAUACCCUUGUAGUC